rnacentral:rRNA from 1 species
UACGGAGGGUGCAAGCGUUACCCGGAAUCACUGGGCGUAAAGCGCGCGUAGGCGGAACUUCAAGUCCGGUCUGAAAGCCCCCGGCUCAACCGGGGAGGGUGGCUGGAAACUGGGGUUCUUGAGGGCGAGAGAGGAGGGUGGAAUUCCUGGUGUAGCGGUGAAAUGCGUAGAGAUCAGGAGGAACACCCGGGGCGAAGGCGGCCCUCUGGCUCGACCCUGACGCUGAGGCGCGAAAGCGUGGGGAGCGAACGGG